AUUGAACGCUGGCGGCAGGCUUAACACAUGCAAGUCGAACGAGUGGCGGACGGGUGAGUAAUGUUUGGGAAUCUGGCUGAUGGAGGGGGAUAACUACGGGAAACUGUAGCUAAUACCGCAUACCAUAGGAUGAGCCCAGGUGGGAUUAGGUAGUUGGUGGGGUAAAGGCUCACCAAGUCGACGAUCUCUAGCUGGUCUGAGAGGAUGACCAGCCAACCUGGGACUGAGACACGGCCCAGACUCCUACGGGAGGCAGCAGUGGGGAAUAUUGCGCAAUGGGGGCAAUCCUGACGCAGCCAUGCCGCGUGUAUGAAGAAGGCCUUCGGGUUGUAAAGUUCUUUCAGCGGGGAGGCGUUACCCACAGAAGAAGCACCGGCUAACUCCGUGCCAGCAGCCGCGGUAAUAC
rnacentral:rRNA from 1 species